AUCUGCAGGCCCUCGAGGAAGAACGUAUGUAGCAUCUCCGCACCUAGUUUGAGAGCAAAUUUGAUCUCGGCAAUCAUCCGGCGUUUGAUCUCGAUUCUCGAUGAGGAAUAUAUCCCAUCUCAAAUAAAAAACGCAAGCUAAUAUUUCUCUGACGCCACGUGGCCUAUGGUGUUUCUAUCCUAGCAUCGGUUUGGUGACGCCGCAUCGUCCCCAAAGUCUUCUUCCUCCCCCUCUUUUCUAUAUCUAUCCUCUCCCAUUCCUCCAUAUUUCUUUCGCUUGGUUUGAUGGUUUUGUAGAUCAUUCCGUGCCAAAUCCAAUCUUUGAUUGUCGAGGAUCUCCCUGGCGGACGUCGCUUACAGAUUGCUCUUGGUGUAAAGAUGUCGUCAAUCAAGGGAUUCAGCAGCCUUGCGCCCAAGACCAAGAACCUGAUUGUCGCAGGUGGGUUGUCUGGCUUCGUCGUGGGGGUGUACUACUACACCAUGAGAGCAGUUGGAAACACAGAUGAGCUGCAGGUUGCAAUCAACAAGUUUGAAGAAAUGAAGAACAAGGAGGAGGCUGAAACGGCUGCAUCACCACCUGGGUCUUGAGACUGCGACAACUUCCCUUCCAGUCAGAAAAUUUUUCUUAUCUUACAUUGUUGCUGCUGCAAAAGCCUGCUGGAAAGGAGGUGGUCCAGUGACUGUUCUUAUUGCUGCUGGAUUGUUCUAAGAGAAGGAAGAGGAUACGUAGCACUUAAUAAUGCAGAUCUGUGUUCUUAACUAUGGCAGCUAAAUAGAGUGCAAGAGUCACUAUAACUGAUGGAUCAAGUUUUUGACUUAUAAUACAUGUUUUGGUUUCCUUAAAACAUAAUACCUGUUGGUCACUAUCAGAAAUAAACUGUUUUUGCCCCCUUGCUGGA